CGAAUGGCGUAAUGAUGGCCAGGCUGUCUCCACCCGAGACUCAGUGAAAUUGAACUCGCUGUGAAGAUGCAGUGUACCCGCGGCAAGACGGAAAGACCCCGUGAACCUUUACUAUAGCUUGACACUGAACAUUGAGCCUUGAUGUGUAGGAUAGGUGGGAGGCUUUGAAGUGUGGACGCCAGUCUGCAUGGAGCCGACCUUGAAAUACCACCCUUUAAUGUUUGAUGUUCUAACGUGGACCCGUAAUCCGGGUUGCGGACAGUGUCUGGUGGGUAGUUUGACUGGGGCGGUCUCCUCCUAAAGAGUAACGGAGGAGCACGAAGGUUGGCUAAUCCUGGUCGGACAUCAGGAGGUUAGUGCAAUGGCAUAAGCCAGCUUGACUGCGAGCGUGACGGCGCGAGCAGGUGCGAAAGCAGGUCAUAGUGAUCCGGUGGUUCUGAAUGGAAGGGCCAUCGCUCAACGGAUAAAAGGUACUCCGGGGAUAACAGGCUGAUACCGCCCAAGAGUUCAUAUCGACGGCGGUGUUUGGCACCUCGAUGUCGGCUCAUCACAUCCUGGGGCUGAAGUAGGUCCCAAGGGUAUGGCUGUUCGCCAUUUAAAGUGGUACGCGAGCUGGGUUUAGAACGUCGUGAGACAGUUCGGUCCCUAUCUGCCGUGGGCGCUGGAGAACUGAGGGGGGCUGCUCCUAGUACGAGAGGACCGGAGUGGACGCAUCACUGGUGUUCGGGUUGUCAUGCCAAUGGCACUGCCCGGUAGCUAAAUGCGGAAGAGAUAAGUGCUGAAAGCAUCUAAGCACGAAACUUGCCCCGA
rnacentral:rRNA from 2 species